UUUGGGGGAGUAUUCAUUUUGUUUUGUUUGCAUAAUGAUAAGGAGAAGGAUGGGUCACUGAGGCAGUAGCAGAGAAGACCUGAAGAACUGCAGAACCAAAGAACGUGACUAUUGUAUGUAGAAGUUUAGGAUGAACACUUCUCUUGAACGGGUACUUAUGGAAAGUUACUAAUUCAGAAGGUAUCACUUGAUGGAGCUAGAGGCAAUGAUGGAGUUCAGAAAAGCAUCUGAAGAUGUGAUGGAGGAAAGAGGAGAGAGGCUGCAAACAUAGUUCACAGUUUGUUGAUACCCGCAGAACAAAAGCACCUGGAGGCAGAGCCCCUAACUGAAGAGGAUGACAUGAAAGCAGGUGACUGAUGAGACCAUUUAAUGGAGGAGAAAUAGAACUGAAUAAAAUAAAAUCCCCCAGAGACAUCCUGGUGUAACAGGAAGAAAACAAGAGUAACUGGACUCCCCAAAAAGAGAGGAAACAACAAGAAAGAUAGCCAGAGAUUGGAAUCUGAGGACAAACAAAGAAAAUGUUAAGAAAAUUGCAAGAAAAUACAGACUUUGGUUCCUCAUACAGCAGAAGGAAGAACGGAAGAGAGAAGACAAGAGAUUCACACCUACACCAGGAAGAGACAGGUCUAUAUGACUGGAGUCCCCUCCUCAAAAAACCAUGGACAGGUCUAUCAUCAGAGUAGAUCCAGAGUAUGUAAAAGUGUGCCAUCUUUGCUCUGUCAGAAGCAAGGAUACAAGAUACAAACCUGAGGUGAAAAGAAUCCUUCACAUUGAAACAAGUGAUAUUGCACUAUUCCUACUGGAACAGGGAGCA